AGAUGUUGGUUAAGUCCGCAACGAGCGCAACCCCUAUUGUUAGUUGCCAUCAUUCAGUUUGGGCACGUCUAGCGAGACUGCCGGUAUAAACCGGAGGAAGGUGGGGAUGACGUCAAAUCAUCAUGCCCUUAUGACCUGGGCUACACACGUGCUACAAUGGUUGGUACAACGAGUUGCGAGUCGGUGACGGCGAGCUAAUCUCUUAAAGCCAAUCUCAGUUCGGAUUGUAGGCUGCAACUCGCCUACAUGAAGUCGGAAUCGCUAGUAAUCGCGGAUCAGCACGCCGCGGUGAAUACGUUCCCGGGCCUU
rnacentral:rRNA from 1 species